AUAUAAAAUCGGCAGUACAUGUAUUAAAAUUGGAACGAUACAUCGAAAAUUAGCAUGGCCCCUGCGCAAGCAACAUUUGAUUGGAAAGAGUCGGGAAACGUGAGU